CUUAGAAGUAGAGGCGCGCCAAAUAUCAGUAGUGAUCAGUAGGGUGAUUCCGAUGAUCGAUUACGAAAGGAUUUGGUGCCGAAGUGGUUUGAUUUAUCACAAUCAACUGCUGGGGUUGUACCGAAUAGGUGCAGCACUGCCAUAGUAUUUUCUAAUACGGAUAUUGGAAAUAGUUACUAUGGAGCGCUACUGAUAGG
rnacentral:ncRNA from 2 species